GAGAGAAAAAAUCUGUCAAUGGGAGGAAAGGAAAUCUUAUUGAAAGUAGUCAUACAAGCAAUCUGUGUUUUUGCCAUGUAUGUGUUUAAUAUUCCAAAGAAACUUUGCAAGGAAAUGACUAAUGCAAUGGCUGAGUUUUGGUGGGGAUAUUCCGAGAAUACAAAACGUAUGCACUGGAUGGCAUGGUGGAGGAUGUGCAUCCCUAAUAGAGAUGGAUGUAUGGACUUUUGUGAUUUACAUUCUUUCAACUUAGCAAUGCUUGCAAAACAGUCCUGGAGAUUUGUUUCUACUCUUGAUUCCCUUUAUGCACAAGUUUUGAAAGCGAAGUAUUUCCCAAAUUGCUUGUAG
rnacentral:rRNA from 1 species